ensembl:piRNA 21ur-14002 ncRNA
UUUCUAUCGGUUUCAUUCAAA